CAAUAGCGUAUAUUAAAGUUGUUGCAGUUAAAAAGCUCGUAGUUGGAUUUGUGGCGUACGGUGGGUUCCGGGCACUUGUUGUCUGAGUAACUUGCUGUUGCCAUCCUUGGGUGGAACCUGUGUGGCAUUAGGUUGUCGUGCAGGGGAUGCCCAUCAUUUGCUGUGAAAAAAUUAGAGUGUUCAAAGCAGGCUUAUGCCGUUGAAUAUAUUAGCAUGGAAUAAUGAGAUAGGACUUUUUUGCUAUUUUGUUGGUUUGCGCAAAGAGGUAAUGAUUAAUAGGGACAGUUGGGGGUAUUCGUAUUCCAUUGUCAGAGGUGAAAUUCUUGGAUUUUUGGAAGACGAACUACUGCGAAAGCAUUUACCAAGGAUGUUUUCAUUAA
rnacentral:rRNA from 1 species